rnacentral:rRNA from 1 species
UACGGAGGGUGCGAGCGUUGUCCGGAAUCACUGGGCGUAAAGGGCGCGUAGGCGGCCUGAUAAGUAGGGGGUGAAAUCUUGCGGCUUAACCGCAAGGCUGCCUUCUAAACUGUCGGGCUAGAGCACAGUAGAGGCAGGUGGAAUUCCCGGUGUAGCGGUGGAAUGCGUAGAGAUCGGGAAGAACAUCAGUGGCGAAGGCGGCCUGCUGGGCUGUUGCUGACGCUGAGGCGCGACAGUGUGGGGAGCGAACAGG